rnacentral:lncRNA from 1 species
CUCAAGGGGAACUAAAGACAUGUAUUCACUAUUAAUUAAAAAUAAUAUAGUUUCAACGGGUCAGAAAAAAUGGGAUCAAAUUGUAAAAGUAGAUGAAGAUGAAUGGAAAUUAAUUUUCAAAUUACCUUUUAAAGUCACAAAAAAUACCAAACUGCAGUGGUUACAAUAUAGAAUAAAUCAGCAUAUUUUAGGUACAAAUAAGUUUUUGAAUAAAAUUAAUGUCAUUGACAACCCAAAUUGUAUUUUUUGUCAAGAAGAAGUAGAAACUAUUGUACAUUUAUUUUGGAAUUGUGAGAUUGUUCAAACAUUCAUUGAUGAAAUUGACUCAUGGUUUUUGUCAAAUGGUAUAAGUGUUCCAUUUACCUUAAAAUAUUUUUUAUUUGGGGAUAUUACAAAAUCAUUUAGGGGGAAUGCUGCAAAUUUGAUAUAUAUGCAGAUAAAACAAUAUAUUUUCAACUGCAAAUAUUUUAAGAAAGCUUUGACAAUGCAGGC